GAGUGGGAGUAGAUUAGUUUCCUAAUAUGAUUUUGUCAGAUUUUUCCUAUUAGGACUUCUUAAUUUCUCUUUCUAUAUUCUUGUAAGCUGCACGGGAUUGGGCGCGAUGCCUCGGUGUAUUAUUGCCGGUUGACGUUCAUGUUUUUUUUUCUCAUAAGGGUUCUUCACGUUAAAUCCGCUUCUCGGUUAUACGUCGAUUUUCCUAACAAGUGGUAUUAGAGCAAAGAUCCAAUCUACUUGGUUAUGCGUUUGUUGUCGUGUGUUUUGGCUUGCUGCAUUAUCGACGUGUAUCUCAUGCCACGGCGCGGCGUUGUCCGCGUCUCCUCAAGCACGGCGCAGCAGCAACAGCCACCAUCGUCUCUCCCCGUGCACACGUAGCAGCACAACAAGAAGGAAGCAAGCAAGGUGAUUCUGGUGGAUGUGUUUUGGCUUGCUGCAUCAUCGACGUGUAUCUCGCAACAGCCCCCAACCUGGCAGGGGGUAAACGGCGCGUAGCAGUACAACAAGAAGGAAGCAAGCAAGGUGAUUCUGGCUGCAGCAGCAACAGCCACCAUCGUCCUCCCCGUGCACGCGUAGCAGUACAACAAGAAGGAAGCAAGCAAGGUGAUUCUGGCUUGCUGCAUCAUCGACGUGUAUCUCCUGCCACGUUGUGGCGUUGUCUGUGUCUCCUCAAGCAUGUCGCAGCAGCAACAGCCACCAUCGUCUCUCCCCGCGCACGCGUAGCAGUACAACAAGAAGGAAGCAAGCAAGGUGAUUCUGGCUUGCUGCAUCAUCGACGUGUAUCUCCUGCCACGGCGCGGCGUUGUCCGUGUCUCCUCAAGCACGACUCAGCAGCAACGGCCAUCAUCGUCUCUCCCCGUGCACGCGUAGCAGUACAACAAGAAAGAAGCAAGCAAGGUGAUUCUAGUGGAUGUGUCCUUUUUUGGUUUUCCUUCCUGUAAAUAGCAAAUCGGAAAUCAAGAUCUAUCAGUGCCACUGUGAUCACCCUAUGUAUUCUCCUUAGGAUCAUGAUUUUUCCACAUGCUCUUCCCACAUGUAGGACAAAAAUUCAUCUCCUCAGUCUCCACGAAAUAACACACAAUCAUUCACGCAAAGCAUGAAUCUUCACGUAGUCUAAGCCAAGUUCCUGAACAACCUUUCGAACUUUAUCCAAAGUAUUUGGAACACAAUGUCCUUCAGGGAGCAAUAGACCGAACAAGUGAAGUAUAUGCUCCAUGGCAUUGGUGCUAAUUCUGAACAUGCAUUUAAUCUGAAAUAGCCGGACAAUGAAAGAUACUUUGGUUACCUCCUUGCAACCUGUUUCUUUCGCGCUUUAUCCAAUAAUUUGAAAAAACUCUUUGCUGAUUCAUUCGGCUCCUCGGUAUUGCCUUUUGUAAUUUCUCCAUGUAUAGCACCUCUAAUUAGCGAGGAAAUCAAAUUAUUGACAGAGCCACCAUCAGUAGUAUCACCUUCAGCAAAAUUCUGAUCAUCAUUCAUAAUUGUAGGGUCGACGUGAUGAUGACGUUUCUGUUUGAUGAAAU
rnacentral:lncRNA from 1 species